AUUGCACGCUGGCGGCAGGCCUAACACAUGCAAGUAGAACGAGUGGCGGACGGGUGAGUAAUGUCUGGGAAACUGCCUGCUGGAGGGGGAUAACUACUGGAAACGGUAGCUAAUACCGCAUACCAUCGGAUGUGACCAGAUGGGAUUAGCUAUUAGGGGGGGUAAAGGCUCACCUAGGAGACGAUCCCUAGCUGGUCUGAGAGGAGGACCAGCCACACUGGGACUGAGCGGCGGUCCAGACGCCUAAGGGAGGAAGAAGUGGGUAAAAUUGCACAAUUGGCGAGAGCCAGAUGCAGCCAUGCCGCGUGUAUGAAGAAGGCUUUAGGGUUGGAAAGUACUUUCAGCGGGGAGGCGUUACCCGCAGAAGAAGCACCGGCUAACUCCGUGCCAGAAGCCGCGGUAAUUC
rnacentral:rRNA from 1 species